rnacentral:lncRNA from 1 species
CCUGUUGUCUAUGUUCAAGAGCAAGUGUGUGCAAAAGGAGCGGAACAAUGUUGGCCUUUCUUCUGCAACGUCGCUGGCCGCGAAAUAAAUGCAGAAUUAAGAGCCCAGAGAGGCAAGUGUCAGUCGCGUCUUUGGUUGUCAACGUUGUCGUCUAUCGUCAAGUUAACGUGGCACGUCACAAAGGGCUGUUCCAUUGCUUUUAUACCCUUUUGGAGCCCUUAAACCCUCCCACACUCAAGCACUUACCAGCUGACUUAACCUAAGCUAAUGAGGGUGCAGGGCUUGAGGGCUUAGGGUGGAGUUUGGAAUUGGGCCUUUGACUCGACAACAGAGGAGGAAGUGACGAAGUUUACCGGGAAAUUUACCGGGAAAUUAGCGACGCUGACGGGCGGGAAAUGUGUGUGUGUGCGUGCGUGUGUGCGUGUCUGUGGUUCAGAGGGCAAAAUAAAGUUUCUCUCACCCUGAAUUUCCACUUCAUCCAGAACAGCAGCGAUUUUCACCAAUUCCUACCGGAUCCGUUUGUGAGGCGAAUAUUUACGGCGGAUUACAGACAGCAGGAACCGCGAGAACUCACAAGAACCCGCGGAUUCACGUCCAAUCGCGCGUUAACGAGUUGUCUCUAUAAAGACAGACACAUAGACAUAUAAGCAGUAGAUUGUGUCCUUCCAGAGGAGGAAAUCUACUUCUAGACUUCUAGAAUCAGAGUAUGUCCUGUUGAUGAAGUUAGGUGCUGUUCUGAGCAUUAUUUGUGGCUAUAGAGUGGCGUUUUGGUUGGGGGCGUGGCUCUUUGUAUUUCUAUCCUGCGGUCGUUACUAAAGUUGGUAUAACUAGAGAAGCAAGCGGUCGACAACAUUCAUCUCUGGAGGGGGGGUCUAACUCUGUGUUACGGUGGGUUUGACCCUAAAUUAAUUUUAUGACAGAAUGUCCCUUUAACUUGAAUCGUUAUGAUCAGCUACAAUCUGUGGAGACGGCGUUUUCGUAGCUGUUCUGGAUGCGGUGGAAAUUAGGGGUUUGUGUGUCUGUGUGGCUCUGUGUGACGCCCGUAUAUUUUGUGACGCCGCCGCUCCGUAUCAAACAAACGUAAAUGAUUGUAAUAAGAAAAAAUCCCUGCUGUCGUUUAUUACUGUUGUUGUUUAUUAGUGUUGUUUUGUUGUUGUUGUUUGUUGUUUAUUGUUUAUUGUUGUUGUUUAUGGUUGUUGUUGUUUAUUGUUGUAGUAGUCGUAGCGGUCGUCUCCUCGUCUGCUCUGAUUGGUCGUUUCCUCUCUGGUGAUAGAAAAAUAAAAGGAUGAAUGCGUGUUAGGACAGAGUGUGCUGUGAGCGUGCUCAGUGCGAACUUGUGACUCAGACAGGAAGUUGUCAGACACACGAACACAGAGACAUGGAACCCCCCCCCCCGAUCAAACUGUCCGUCUCUCUAAUGUCCAAAUGUCUUAUUCUCCCAUAAACCCUCUGUCAUAUGAGCCGUCUUGUGACCGCCGCUGUGAGAUCUGCUGCAACCGCCACCGUCACGCUCAUUAAAGGGCGAGGGGGCGGGGACAAAGAACUGAUGAUGAUUGUUUUUGUUGUUCCUCUAAUACCUGCUGUCACCAUCACAGGAACUCAGUCAGACUGUGUGUGUGUGUGUGUUUGUGUGUGUGUGUGUGUGUGUGAAUGUGUGUGUGUAGUUUGCUCGUAUUGUUUCAGUUGCGUUGUUAACAUUGCUGUUUGUUUGUUGUUGUUGUUUGUUGUUGUUGUUUGUUGUUGUUUAUUGUUGUUGUUUGUUUGUUGUUGUUUGUUGUUGUUGUUGUUGUUUAUUGUUGUUGUUAUUGUUGUUGUUGUUGAUGUUUAUUGUUGUUGUUGUUUGUUUAUUGUUGUUGUUGUUGUUUGUUGUUGUUGUUGUUGUUUGUUGUUGUUGUGUGGUGCUGUGUCAGUGACAGCUCUGUGAGAUCUGCAGGUUUACACUCUGAUUCAUGUGUUCAUAGACGUUCAUGUGAAUAAAUGUAAAUAUUGAUAAACAGGGUUGGAAAUCAUUUCAGUUCGAAUUAUUCUGAUUUUUUAACUUUUAAAAUGAUUUAAACCUUAAAUAAACUUCACCAUAAAUUUCUCACAGGGUUAUUUUUUUUACAAAUAUAAAAAUAUCGUUGUUGUCGGGUCUGAGCUAACGUUGGUCGGUUAUUUAGGUUGACCCGUCGUGCACAGUCAAGUUUGUUCACCGCAGAAAACAGACGUCAGUUCUUGUUUUACUGUUCUGGUUCUGACCGGUUAGAGGAAGAGCGGCGCAGCGCGCGUCAAAGACGGGGCGCAGCGCGCGUCAAAGACGGGGUAAGUCUCGAGCUCCCAUCGAUGCUCGAGACUUGAUGCUCGGCCCGUUAGAUUAAUAAAUCAAUAAAUAUGAAUUAAAAUAGAGAAAAAAAACUGAAUAAAAACAUGAAUGAAUGAAUCUGAAUAUAAAUAUAAAUAAAUAAAUAAAAUACUUUUGUUGUUGUUGGACAUUUGUUUCAGUCUUUAUCAUUUAUCAUGAACACACAUAUAUAUAUUUAUACACACACACACACAUAUAUAUAUAUUUACACACACACACACACACACAUAUAUAUAUUUAUACACACACACACACACACACACACACACAUAUAUAUAUAUUUACACACACACACACACACAUAUAUAUAUUUACACACACACACACACACACACAUAUAUAUAUUAGUACACACACACACACACACACACACACAUAUAUAUAUUUACACACACACAUAUAUAUAUUUAUACACACACACACACACACACACACACACACACACACAUAUAUAUAUUUACACACACACACACACACACACACACACACACAGUACAUGUGGAGUAACUCAUGACCCUAACCCCCCUGUCCUGUUGCUGACCCCCCCCAGCCUGAGGCGGUCAGUCAGUUGCUGCUGCUGCAGAAUAAAGACCCACUUGGUCGGGUCUCCGUUGUUGGGUUGGGAUCUGGGGGGUGGGGUCUAAAUGUCCCAGAAUUCCUCUGUGUGCUGCAGACGAUGAAGCCCAACAUUGUGCGGCGUCCACAAUGACCACACUGUCGACAAGAUACGUCUAAUUCAAUUAGCAGAGAGACGGCGCAUAAAUUUACCCAGAAUUCCUCGGAUGAGCCACUGUUAGCCCUAAAGGCUGGGGGGGACACACUGAGCACGCUCAGUAACCUGCUGCACACAGUAAGGGUCAGUCAGCCAGAGGAGCAUCAAACCUGAGCCUCAUGGUGCAGGUUCAGGGUCAAAGGUCACUCAGCUCCAGGAUGAAUCAAUGACAACAACGGCAAUAACGACAACGACAACGACAAUAACAACAACAACAACGACAAUAACAACAACAACGACAAUAACAACUCGACAACAAUGACAAUAACAACAAUGACAAUAACAACAACGACAAUAACAACAACAACAACAACAACAACUACGACAAUAACAACAACGACAACGACAAUAACAACAACAGUAACAACGACAACAACAACAACGACAAUAACAACAACAAUAACAAUAACAACAUCAACAAUAACAACAACAACGACAACAACAAUGACAUCAACAACAAUAACAACAAUAACAACAACAAUAACAACAAUAACAACAACAACACCGAUAACAUUAGAGAAACUUAAUUUUGCCCUCUGAUCCACAGACAUGGAGAACACACACACACACAGACACACACACACACACACACACACACACAGACCUCCUGUCUGUAAUUUAACUGACUCAGAAAACAAGGUCGUAGUUUGGAGGGGAGGGGCUAGGGACACUUGACCACGCCUCCAGGUUUUUAAAGGCUGUCCUCACCUAACCUGACCCUGACCCUGACCCCGACCCUGACCCCGUUUACCGGCUCCUCUCCUCUUCCUGAGCAGCAGAUGAGGCUCCGCCCACAUGUCACAGAUGACAUCACCUCCCCCGCCGUGACAUCAGACACGGAUCAUCAGGUCCUGUUUCAGCGCCACAGCAGGAGCAGCAGCAGGGGAUUGUGGGUCAUCGUCGCGCUGUGAAACAUCUGAUCUGUUUGUCGGCGGCCAUGUUGACUUUACAAACUAACGCUCUGAUCCGGCGUGACAACGCCGAGGUCGCUUCAGACCGAGACCAAAGAUUAGAGGUCCACACACCGGCAUCAGGGUCCGGUUAAGACUCUCAACACUCUCUCUCUCCCCCCUCUCCUCUCUCUCUCUCCCCCCUCUCCUCUCUCUCUCUCCCCUCUCCUCUCUCUCUCUCCCCCCCUCCUCUCCUCUCUCUCUCUGUCUCUGUCCCCCCCCCCGUCUUCGUCAGACGCCGCUCUUGGUCUUGUGGGCGGACGUCUUUCAGACUCAGAGACAGAAUCACGGCGGGUGACGUUUCCAACGACCCGCAGCUUUACGACUUUCUCAGAUCAGGUAUCAGCCCGCCGUCUCUCUGGGUGUCUCCCAGAGUCCAUCCAGACCUCUUAGACCAACAUGGGGGGGUCCUGACCAGGGUCCAGUUCCUGAACAAACACUGAGCGUCUUAAAACCUCCUCAGACCGAGACAGAGACCUGCUGAUCAGCUGAUCCCGGAAACAGCAGAGACACAGACGUGAGGAGACACAGACAUGAGGACACACAGACGUGAGGACACACAGACAUGAGGAGACACAGACGUGAGGAGACACAGACGUGAGGAGACACAGACAUGAGGACACACAGACGUGAGGAGACACAGACGUGAGGAGACAGACAUGAGGAGACACAGACAUGAAGACACAGACGUGAGGACACAGACGUGAGGAGACGCAGACGUGAGGAGACACAGACAUGAGGAGACACAGACAUGAAGACACAGACGUGAGGAGACACAGACGUGAGGAGACACAGACAUGAGGACACACAGACAUGAGGAGACAGACAUGAGGAGACAGACAUGAGGAGACACAGACGUGAGGAGACACAGACAUGAGGACACACAGACGUGAGGAGACGCAGACGUGAGGAGACAGACAUGAGGAGACAGACAUAAGGACACAGACAUGAGGACACAGACAUGAGGAGAGAGACAUGAGGACACACAGACGUGAGGACACACAGACGUGAGGAGACACAGACGUGAGGACACACAGACAUGAGGAGACACAGACGUGAAGACACAGACAUGAGGAGACACAGACGUGAGGAGACACAGACGUGAGGAGACACAGACAUGAGGAGACACAGACUUGAGGAGACACAUCAGACUGGGACAAGAACAAAGACAGAAACUGUUGACAUACUGACACUCAUUCUUCUGGGUCUUUUUUAACUGUUGUUGUUUCUCCUGGACUGAGACGGAGGACCUGGGCUGAGGCGGAGGACCUGGGCUGAGACAGAGGACCUGGGACCUGGGCUGAGACAGAGGACCUGGGCUGAGACAGAGGACCUGGGAUCUGGGCUGAGACAGAGGACCUGGGAUCUGGGCUGAGACAGAGGACCUGGGAUCUGGGCUGAGACGGAGGACCUGGGCUGAGACAGAGGACCUGGGCUGAGACGGAGGACCUGGGAUCUGGGCUGAGACGGAGGACCUGGGCUGAGACGGAGGACCUGGGACCUGGGACCUGGGCUGAGACAGAGGACCUGGGACCUGGGCUGAGACAGAGGACCUGGGACCUGGGCUGAGACGGAGGACCUGGGCUGAGACAGAGGACCUGGGCUGAGACAGAGGACCUGGGAUCUGGGCUGAGACAGAGGACCUGGGCUGAGACGGAGGACCUGGGCUGAGACGGAGGACCUGGGCUGAGACGGAGGAUCUGGGCUGAGACAGAGGACCUGGGCUGAGACAGAGGACCUGGGAUCUGGGCUGAGACGGAGGACCUGGGCUGAGACGGAGGACCUGGGCUGAGACGGAGGACCUGGGACCUGGGCUGAGACAGAGGACCUGGGACCUGGGCUGAGACAGAGGAUCUGGGACCUGGGCUGAGACGGAGGACCUGGGCUGAGACAGAGGACCUGGGCUGAGACUGAGGACCUGGGCUGAGAUGGAGGACCUGGGCUGAGACAGAGGACCUGGGACCUGGGCUGAGACGGAGGACCACAUCAUCCUGCUCAGAAUCUCUUCGCUUGUUUCUCUGAUCAUUGAUCAUUAUUUCUGAUUUUACAGACUAACAGGGAACUUUCUCGUCUCUUAUUGGACACUACAGUCAAGGGAACAAUAGAAGAAGAAUAUGAGACCGUGUCAUUGGUCAAAGUUUGACGUCAUCCAAACAGGUCGUCAAGCACAGAGGACAUUAACGUCGUUUAUUGAUCGUGAUCUUUUUUAUCACAACAGUCUGAUCAAUAAUCCUGUUUUCACCUCCGUAUAUCAAACUCAGACGUCUCUGAUCAAACUCCUGUUUCUGUGGACAGAUCGUAAACUUUGUGGCAGGUGUAGAAACAUCUGGAAACCCUCGAUAGAUCGACUAAAGAUUAAACUAUUGAUCACUUUAGAUCCCGUAGAGAAACACAGAAUAGAUCCUGAGAAACUCUGAAUUACAUUCAUGGAGUCACGAGGGAGCGCCUCUCCUGAGGUCUGAGGAGUCAAACUCAAAGACUCUUUUGGAAAGGACAGCUGGACUGAUUGAGACGUUUCAACGUCUCAAUCAGUCCAGCUGUCCUUUCAACGAAGAACUGUACAUCCUAGAUGCUGCAUGCUCAGAGCUCACAGACUCAGGACUCUUCAGAUCGUGGUGUUCAGCAGAGAGAGAGAGUUUCUCUGAGGCGGUUUCAGGAUGAACUCCCACUCAGUCUGCUGUUCUCAGAUCAGCUCUAAUCUGGAGGAACACCUGAACCUCCUACAGCUCCUGAUCCCCCCCCCAGGAGACCAACAAAGAGGCUGCUGAUCCACCAUCACCUUCAGACUCCUGAGAGAGGCCAGGACAGGACUGAUGCCGUCACGCCGUCUCUUCCCCGUCCUGUAGGGGGCGCAGAGCUGACUGGCUUAGAAAGACCAUGACAUGUGGCGCUCUGCUGCUACGCUCCAUCCUGUCUGAGACACCAAACGCUGGUCCACGGAGAAAAGACAGAACGACGAGCUGAACACGGAUCCUGGAGGUUUUCAGAUCCACCUGUUAGUCAGGUCACUGAUGACUCCAACAUGGAGGAAGUCUGCUGAUGGCGCCGUCUAAUCCGUCCAAUCAAAUGAUCUCAGUUUGAUUUUUGUUCAUCAACAGAAAAUUCACCUCCAGCACUGAGACGGUCCAACAGAACCUGAACAGAGUUCUGGUUCAGGUUUGUGUUUAUCAGCAGAUCUAUUUAAACUGGAUCUACAAAACAAUGACAUGAGAUAUCAGGACCCCUGAGGGACCCCUGAGGUGAGGGACCCCUGAGGGACCCCUGAGGGACCCUCUAAGGUGAGGGGCCCCUGAGGGACCCUCUGAGGGACCCCUGAGGGACCCUCUAAGGUGAGGGGCCCCUGAGGGACCCUCUGAAGGACCCUCUAAGGUGAAGGACCCCUGAGGGACCCUCUGAGGGACCCCACAUCUGUGAGGUAGGACUAGAACCUGGUCCCACACAGGUGUUCAGGUGUGACAGGAGGAUGUUGAUCCACUGUGUCAGCCCCCCCCCCCACCUGAUGACAUCAGCUGAUUCCCUUUUCAUGUGUGUGUGUGUGUGUGUGUGUGUGUGUGUGUGUGUCUGUGUUGUGUGUUGUGUGUCCUGUCCUCGUCCCCCCUCGCCGUAAUCGUGUCUCACAGAGCUCUAACAUCCUGUCCUCCUGGUCCUGUGGUUGUUCUGUUGUCAUGGCGAUGUGAUUGACAGCCUGUCAGUUAUAUUUAACCCUGUGGCGUUCCUGCAGGCGGCUGUGAUGCGUUCAGGAGCUCAGAUAAAGUCAGUCAGUAUCCUGUGGUCACAAAAAGACGGACAGUUUCACUCUGACAGACAGCAGCGUUUUCCUUUUGGUUCAGUUUGAUGUUUUUAUGGUAAAUUAAACUUUCAUAACUUUAUUAAACCAUAAUAACUUUAUUAACUUUAAUAACUUUAUUAAACUUUAUUAAACUUUAUUAAACUUCAUUAACUUUAUUAAACUUUAAUAACUUUAUUUAACUUUAUUUAACUUUAAUAACUUUAUUAAACUUUAUUAAACCUUAAUAACUUUAUUAACUUUAAUAACUUUAUUAAACUUUAUUAACUUUAUUGAACUUUAUUAAACCUUAAUAACUUUAUUAACUUUAAUAACUUUAUUAAACUUUAUUAACUUUAUUUAACUUUAUUUAACUUUAUUAAACUUUAUUAACUUUAUUUAACUUUAUUUAACUUUAUUAAACUUUAUUUAACUUUAUUAAACUUUAUUUAACUUUAUUAACUUUAUUUAACUUUAUUCAACUUUAUUUAACUUUAUUAAACUUUAUUUAACUUUAUUAAACUUUAUUGACUUUAUUAACUUUAUUAACUUUAUUUAACUUUAUUAAACUUUAUUCACGUCAUGUUUUCAUAUUUGAACGUGUUCAGAUGAUCAUUUGGACAAAAACAGGUUCGAGUUUUCCUUUCAUCGAAUCCUGACAGCUCAAAUGUUUUGACUUUUGAACGAACUUUUGCUCGUCUUCAGACGACUGUGGCAGAAACUCGGUUUUAUUUUAGCCUCAUUUGAGUUCAUGUUUCAAUCAAAACUGAGAUUUUUGUAAAAGUUUGAGCAUAAAAACUCAGAGUUAUUUCAGCUGAACGAGUGUUUCUGUAUGAAUCAGAGAAAAUACAGACAACGAAGUUUGGUACCUCAGCAACCGACCGACCAACUGACCGACCGACCAACCAACUGACCAACCGACCGACCAACCAACCGACCGACCAACCAACCAACCGACCAACCAACUGACCGACCAACCAACUGACCGACCAAACAACCGAAUGACUGACCAACUGAACAACUGAUUAACCAACCGACGGACAGACCGACUGACUGACCGACCAACCGACCAACCAACCAACUGACCGACCAAACAACCGACUGACCGACCAACCGACUGACUGACCGACCGACCGACUGACCGACCGACCGACCGACCGACCGACCGACCGACCGACUGACUGACUGACCGACCAACCGACCGACUGACCAACUGACCAACCAACCAACCAACCGACUGACCGACCGACCAACUGACCGACCGACCAACCAACUGACCAACCGACCGACCAACCAACCGACCGACCAACCAACCAACCGACCAACCAACUGACCGACCAACCAACUGACCGACCAAACAACCGAAUGACUGACCAACUGAACAACUGAUUAACCAACCGACGGACAGACCGACUGACUGACCAACUGAACAACUGAUUAACCAACCGACUGACCGACCAACCAACCAACCGACCGACCAACCGACUGACUGACCGACCGACCGACUGACCGACCGACCGACCGACCGACCGACCGACCGACUGACUGACUGACCGACCAACCGACCGACUGACCAACUGACCAACCAACCAACCAACCGACUGACCGACCGACCAACUGACCGACCAACCAACCAACCGACCGACCAACUGACCGACCAACCGACUGACCGACCAACCGACCGACCAACUGACCGACCAACCGACUGACCAACCGACCGACCAACCAACCAACUGACCAACCAACCAACCAACCGACCAACCGACCGACCAACUGACCGACCAACCGACUGACCAACCGACCGACCAACCAACUGACCGACCAACCAACCAACCGACCGACCAACUGACCGACCAACCGACUGACCAACCGACCGACCAACCAACUGACCGACCAACUGGCCGACCAACCAACCAACCGACCGACCAACUGACCGACCAACCGACUGACCAACCGACCGACCAACCAACUGACCGACCAACCAACCAACCGACCGACCAACUGACCGACCAACCAACCGACUGACCAACCGACCAACUGACCGACCAACUGACUGACCGACCAACUGACUGACCAACCGACUGACCAACCGACCGACCGACCAACUGACCGACCAACCGACCGACCAACCAACCGACCGACCAACCAACCAACCGACCAACCAACUGACCGACCAACCAACUGACCGACCAAACAACCGAAUGACUGACCAACUGAACAACUGAUUGACCAACCGACGGACCGACCGACUGACUGACCGACCAACCGACCAACCAACCAACUGACCGACCAAACAACCGACUGACCGACCAACCGACUGACUGACCGACCGACCGACUGACUGACCGACCGACCGACUGACCGACCGACCGACUGACUGACUGACCGACCAACCGACCGACUGACCAACUGACCAACCAACCAACCAACCGACUGACCGACCGACCAACUGACCGUCCAACCAACCAACCGACCGACCAACUGACCAACCAACCGACUGACCGACCAACCGACCGACCAACUGACCGACCAACCGACCGACCAACCGACUGACCAACCAACCAACUGACCAACCAACCGACCAACCGACCGACCAACUGACCGACCAACCGACUGACCAACCGACCGACCAACCAACUGACCGACCAACCAACCAACCGACCGACCAACUGACCGACCAACCAACUGACCAACCGACCGACCAACCAACUGACCGACCAACUGGCCGACCAACCAACCAACCGACCGACCAACUGACCGACCAACCGACUGACCAACCGACCGACCAACCAACUGACCGACCAACCAACCAACCGACCGACCAACUGACCGACCAACCGACUGACCAACCGACCAACCGACCAACUGACCGACCAACCGACUGACCGACCAACUGACCGACCAACCGACUGACCAACCGACCGACCAACCAACUGACCGACCAACCGACCGACCAACCAACUGACCGACCAACCAACCAACCGACCAACCAACUGACUGAACAACUGAUUGACCAACCGACGGACCGACCGACUGACUGACCGACCAACCAAACAACCAAACAACCGACUGACCGACCAACCGACUGACCGACCGACCGAUCGACUGACUGACCGCCCGCCUGACUGACUGACUGACCAACCGACCGACUGACCAACUGACCGACCAACCAACCAACCGACCGACUGACCGACCAACUGACCGACCAACCAACCAACCGACCGACCAACUGACUGACCAACCGACCGACCAACCAACUGACCGACCAACCAACCAACCGACCGACCAACUGACCGACCAACCGACUGACCAACCGACCGACCAACCAACUGACCGACCAACUGGCCGACCAACCAACCAACCGACCGACCAACUGACCGACCAACCGACUGACCAACCGACCGACCAACUGACUGACCAACCGACCGACCAACCAACUGACCGACCGACUGACCAACCGACCGACCAACCAACUGACCGACCAACCAACCAACCGACCAACCAACUGACCGACCAACCAACCAACCGACCAACCAACUGACUGAACAACUGAUUGACCAACCGACGGACCGACCGACUGACUGACCGACCGACCAACCAAACAACCGACUGACCGACCAACCGACUGACCGACCGACCGACCGACCGACCGACUGACUGACCGACCGACCGACCGACUGACUGACUGACCAACCGACCGACUGACCAACUGACCAACCAACCAACCGACCAACCGACCGACCAACUGACCGACCAACUGACUGACCAACCGACAACCAACCAACCGACCGACCAACUGACUGACCAACCGACCGACCAACCGACCAACCAACUGACUGACCAACCAACCAACUGACCGGCCGAAUGACUGACCAACUGACCAACCGACCGACCGACCAACCAACUGACUGACUGACUACUGCCGUCAAUAAGGUUAUUAGGUGAGUUUUAGAGCAUUGAUCAUAAUACUGACAACAGGCAUCACCCGGGAUCAUCUCCUCGGCUCUGACGGCCAUGAUCAUGUUUUUAGUCUGUAUUUAAAAUCCGACUCUAAUCAAUAAUCUGAAAGAUUAAAAUAAAUUACAUUAUUAAUGACUGAUCCACCCACAGGUCCAGAGAGACUCACCUGAGACCUGAGACCUGAGACCUCUGACCGACCAACCAACUGACUGACCAACCAACCAACCGACCAACCAACUGACUGACCAACCGACCGACCAACCGACCAACCAACUGACUGACCAACCAACCAACCGACCGACCGAAUGACUGACCAACCGACCGACCAACCAACUGACCGACCAACCGACCGACCAACUGACCGACCAACCGACUGACCAACCGACCGACCAACCAACUGACCGACCAACCAACCAACCGACCGACCAACUGACCGACCAACCGACUGACCAACCGACCGACCAACCAACUGACCGACCAACUGGCCGACCAACCAACCAACCGACCGACCAACUGACCGACCAACCGACUGACCAACCGACCGACCAACCAACUGACCGACCAACCAACCAACCGACCGACCAACUGACCGACCAACCGACUGACCAACCGACCAACUGACCGACCAACUGACUGACCGACCAACUGAGCGACCAACCGACUGACCAACCGACCGACCAACCAACUGACCGACCAACCGACCGACCAACCAACUGACCGACCAACCAACCAACCGACCAACCAACUGACUGAACAACUGAUUGACCAACCGACGGACCGACCGACUGACUGACCGACCAACCAAACAACCAAACAACCGACUGACCGACCAACCGACUGACCGACCGACCGAUCGACUGACUGACCGCCCGCCUGACUGACUGACCGACCAACCGACCGACUGACCAACUGACCGACCAACCAACCAACCAACCGACCGACUGACCGACCAACUGACCGACCAACCAACCAACCGACCGACCAACUGACCGACCAACCGACUGACCGACCGACCGACCGACUGACUGACCGACUGACUGACUGACUGACCGACCAACCGACCGACUGACCAACCGACCAACUGACCAACCAACCAACCGACCGACCAACUGACCGACCAACCAACCAACCGACCGACCAACUGACCGACCAACCGACCGACCAACCAACUGACCGACCAACCAACCAACCGACCGACCAACUGACUGACCAACUGAACAACUGAUUGACCAACCGACGGACCGACCGACUGACUGACCGACCAACUAACCGACCGACCAACCGACCGACCAACUGACCAGCCAACCGACUGACCAACCGACCGACCAACCAAAUGACCGACCAACCAACCAACCGACCAACCAACUGACCGACCAACCAACCAACCGACCAACCAACUGACUGAACAACUGAUUGACCAACCGACGGACCGACCGACUGACUGACCGACCGACCAACCAAACAACCGACUGACCGACCAACCGACUGACCGACCGACCGACCGACUGACUGACCGACCGACCGACCGACUGACUGACUGACCAACCGACCGACUGACCAACUGACCAACCAACCAACCGACCAACCGACCGACCAACUGACCGACCAACUGACUGACCAACCGACCAACCAACCAACCGACCGACCAACUGACUGACCAACCGACCGACCAACCGACCAACCAACUGACUGACCAACCAACCAACCGACCGACCGAAUGACUGACCAACUGACCAACCGACCGACCGACCAACCAACUGACUGACUGACUACUGCCGUCAAUAAGGUUAUUAGGUGAGUUUUAGAGCAUUAAUCAUAAUACUGACAACAGGCAUCACCCGGGAUCAUCUCCUCGGCUCUGACGGCCAUGAUCAUGUUUUUAGUCUGUAUUUAAAAUCCGACUCUAAUCAAUAAUCUGAAAGAUUAAAAUAAAUUACAUUAUUAAUGACUGAUCCACCCACAGGUCCAGAGAGACUCACCUGAGACCUGGACCUCAGACCUGGACCUGAGACCUGAGACCUGAGACCUCUG